rnacentral:lncRNA from 1 species
AGAGACUGUCUCCAACUGCCCUCCUGGCGCUGUUGGGAGCUUGGUCUCCAGACCGGGGCGCUGCCGACUCCCGGGUACGGGAACCUCCGGCGGAGUCUCAGUGCCUCUGACUGCUGAAUCGUCCUCCUGUGGCGCGCCAAGAGCCGCCUUGCCCAAGGGAGAGCUCCCAGUCCAAAGGCAAAAUCACACGGAAUUGCCGGCUUCUAUCUGAGACAGACAGCCCUCCUCUACUGUGAAUGGGAUUCGGGAUUCGAACGGAAGCUGCCAGAGCCCCUACACCUCGCGCCGUGAGCACAGCGCCACCCACGACCUGCGGCGGUGUGGUUGGGUGUACCCAGAUGCCAUUGGUCUCUCUGCAACAUUUGGGGCACCGAAGCCAACUUGACCUGCCUGAUGCAAACAUCUGGAUUCCAGGGGAACUACCAGGGCCAGUGGCUGAAGGCACAAGCAUCGAAUCACCAGCUCUUCAGACUCCAGUGGAGCAGUUCACCACUACUCACUUCGGCCCCUGGAGGGCACCAGAGACUGUUUGCUGUACAGAGAACAGCGCCUAGAUGGAAACCAGACAGGUUCUGGGGCAGCAUCAGCUGUGUGACCAAUGGCCAGAGUCAGCGUUUGGCCAGCUCUGGAAGCCCAGGCACAGGCAUAUCCCUGCAGAGUUCUGCAAGGCAGGUAGAUGAUAACUGGGGUACCAGGACGAUGACAGGACCCAGAAGGCAGAGUUCUAGCUCCAGCUCGCUAUCAGCUAGCUGUGUGGCUUUGAAAAGUCACUUAACUUCUCUCGACUUUAGUUUCCUCUUAUGUAAAAAGAUGAGGUGGAAGGAGGUGACCCAAAAGGUGUCUUCCAGCUUUAGAGCUUUCAAUUGCUCUGAGUAAGAAAAAAAUGGGAAAUGAUAGAACAGCAUGGAUUCUUAUUUCCUGGAACCUUUGAAAAUGUCCCUGUCCUGGUCCCAGACCUCAGUGUGACCAGGAGCAGGCAUGGCAAGAUGGCUGGGAUGGCAGUAAUGUCAGAGCUGAAUGACAAGGGAGGAGAAUGAAGCUCAGGAGAUAAAUUGGGGUUGGAAAUCUCAUGAGGUCUCCCUAAUCCAGGAUCCUGGCCAUGCUAGGAGCAGGAUCUGGAGGAAGAUCGGGUAACCUUUCUGUAACCAUCCCCACUUAUCCAGCUGUGUAUGAAAUAACAGCCAUGAAGCACAGUAUAACCCAGACCUGCUCGGUAGUGUUCAGCAUCCCUCACCAGCCUGGCUGAAACAUGGGUGGUCAUCUCGAUAGUACUCUGAGGCACAGAUGAGCUUUCCUAGACAAGUCAUUUCCACACUCGGGUUGUGCAUGGUAUUUUGGUUCACACCAACUCAUUGGGGUAGGGAGAUGAAAUGCACAUAUGUAGCAUUGUUCCUAAAUAAAUGAAUGAAAGAGUGAGCACUGAGUGGGAGAGUCUUGGCUGUGAGGAUAGUAAAGGCAAUUCUGAUCCACGCACAGCUCUUCAGAGUGUCAGUCUCUCGCUCCUGAGCAGAGAGAACACAGUGGCUGGUCAAUGGGGUUUAGUCCCUGUCCCAAGUGGUGCUCGUAUGUGGGUUAAACUCAGAGUCCAGGCUGUCACAAAGGACUCUAAAGAGACUGUGGCGAGUGGGGAAUGGGGAAAGGUGGUGUCUUAUGUUGCAAAUGCCAGAGGGAGAAGUAGAGGCAGCAUGAGAUGUUCUGAAUGCAGGGAAAAACAUAUUAUCACUCUGUUGGGGCGAUAUCAAACAUUUCACUCCUCGUCUUGCAGGGAUGUCAUGUGGGACAUAGGUCAGUAAAGCAAGAUGGCAGUGUGGGGAAGAGGAUUACUUAGCAAGAGGCAUCACGGCAGUGGAUCCCUGGACGCCUUUCUGAGAGGGCACUGCCCUCCCAAUUUAGAGUUCCCCACUCUCCCGAGGAGCCAUAAAGAAGGCAAGGAAGGCAAGCACCCUGUCUUUGCUCUUGGCUUUGCCUCUUUCCAGAAAACCCCUUCCAUCAAGGGAGCCACUGGCAGAUAGGUCUACAGUGGAACGGGGUAGAGAGUCAAGGACUAAAGGGAAAGAAUGCACAGAAGGCGUGGGUAGGCAUGGAGGGCUGGCCUUCAGGCCUGGCUCCACUGCUUAUGCUUAUAUGAUCUUGGGAAAACCCCAUAACCUCCCUGACUGAUCCCUAGUUUCCUUACCUGCACAAUGGGAACCAUACUCAAACCUGCCUCAGAAGGUUCGCACGAGGAUUAGGUGAGAUGAUGUAAACAAAAGGGCUUUGCAAACUAUACGGGCAUGGUAAGAAAAUAAACUAUUUUUAUCACAACAGACAGAGGUGGUGUGUGUGUACCCAGAGCACCAGGAUUCUUACUAUUCUUGCUUGGUGGGUCUUUGGAGACCCCUGCAGCUUGCCAGAACCACUUCUACUGGGUGACUGCAGGUGGUAGGGAAGUAAGUUUCUGAGUGGGCUCAAGAGCAUCCGUGUGUGGCCUGAAUCCUUGCAUUGUCACCCUAAGCCUGGUCUGGUCUGCAGAAAUCACCUUUUGUACUGGGCUGGGAGGAGACAUGGCGAGGUUCCUGCAAAUUUUCUGCUCAUUCUGUAUAUUAGCACAGGAGACCUACUUCUAUUUUUGCCAUGGUGACCCACAACUUAGUUGACAGCCAGCAGUGGUGACAAGAAAACUUUAUUGCUUUGUAGCCCACAAGGCCAUGAAUGCCUCCCUGGUGCCAAGAAAUCCCGAUGCCAUGGUCGUAGGUCCAGGCAAUACAGACAGGCACAGGUGUGGACGCAGAGUCUGGAGGAAAAAUCCUGGGGGUCAGACGAGACAACACAGUCCCAAAACACGUCUCUGAAAGGCUAGAUUGGGUUGUCUUGUCUCAGUGCACCACCAGAGCCACUGGGAUGUGCAUCUGAGAAUGAUAAUGAAUAUUUAUUGAGAGUUCACAAUUUUUAUUGAGAGUGCCUGGAACCACUAGCACUUCACACGCAUGAUCUCAUCAUUUUCAAAGUUUUAUUUUUUUUAUUGUGGUAAAAUACAUAUAGCGUAAAAUUUGCCUUCUCCAUUUUUAAGUGUACAAUUCAAUGGCAUUAAGUGCAUUCACAGCAUUAUGUAAUCACUACCAUGCCCCAUCUCCAGAACCUUUUCAUCAUCCCAAACAGAAACAAUGUACCCGUUAAAAUAUAAUUCCCCAUUACUCUCUCCUCCCGGCCCCUGGCAAUCUCUGUUCUACUUCCUGUCUCUAUAAAUUUGUCUAUUCUGGGUAUCUUAUAUAGGUGGAGUCACGCAAUAUUUGUCCUUUUGUGACUGGCUUAUUUCACUUAACAUAAUUCCUCAAAGUUCAUCCAUGUUGUAGCAUGUGGCAGAAUCUCAUUCCUUUUUUUGUUUGUUUGUGUUUUUUUUUGGUGAGGAAGAUUCACCCUGAGCUAACAUCUGUGCCAAUCUUCCUCUAUUUUGUACGUGGGUUAUUGCAACAGCAAGGCUUGAUGAGUGGUGUAGGUCUGCACUGAAGAUUCAAACCCAUGAACCUGGGCCACCUAAGAGAAGUGCACUGAACUUAACCACUAGGUCACGGGCCGGCCCCCAGAAUUUCAC